rnacentral:rRNA from 1 species
AGAGUUUGAUCCUGGCUCAGGAUGAACGCUGGCGGUAUGCUUAACACAUGCAAGUCGUACGAAGAUCUUUGAUCUUAGUGGCGGACGGGUGAGUAACACGUGAGAAUCUGCCCUUAGGAAGAGGAUAACAGCUGGAAACGGUUGCUAAUACUCUAUACGCCGAGAGGUAAAAGGAUUUAUCCACCUUAGGAAGAGCUCGCGUCUGAUUAGCUUGUUGGUAAGGUAAUGGCUUACCAAGGCGACGAUCAGUAGCUGGUUUGAGAGGACGACCAGCCACACUGGGACUGAGACACGGCCCAGACUCCUACGGGAGGCAGCAGUGGGGAAUUUUCCGCAAUGGGCGAAAGCCUGACGGAGCAAUACCGCGUGAGGGAUGAAAGCCUGUGGGUUGUAAACCUCUUUUCUCAAGGAAGAAGUUCUGACGGUACUUGAGGAAUAAGCAUCGGCUAACUCUGUGCCAGCCGCCGCGGU